rnacentral:lncRNA from 1 species
CUAAUUUUGCAGCCAGAGACACUGAAACAUACCGAAGGUGAAAAUUGCUCCAGUUUUCUCACAAUGUUGGGCUACAGGACUUGGAAUUCUCCAGAGCAAGCAGAUAACUUGGUGCAUGAAAGGUAUCAUGGAAAACUGUGGUCAGACACCUUCAGCAGAGGGGACAUACAAUGAGACCUUUGCACCACUGUGAAAUUACAUUCUGUCAGAAGACUUCUGCUAUCAAGAUCAGUCAAUCCAGGACUGCAGCCACAGCCUGAAGCCUACAAUGGAUCUAAAUCAGCCUUUUACUGAGGAGGUUGUCCACUCAGUGAUGUUAUCACCCUUACAUAAAUGUACUACCAGAAGCUUGGUAGUAUUUUCAUGAUUAUCAUAGGAAUAUAUAAUUUGGUAUAUUCUCCAUUUGGAAUGAACCUUUUCAGUUAAAAGAAAAUUUAAAUUCCUGGAGAUCUGAGAUUGACAUCCUAUAGCACUAAAUAGGAACAUCUUUUGUUCCUAAAAGAUGUGAGAAACAGAAAAGUUUUACACAGGGCAUGAAAAAUAAAUAGAAACCCAGAAUACUUAUGAAUAUUUUA